rnacentral:lncRNA from 1 species
AGGGCCCUUACAGAUCCCUGUAGGGAACAUAUAGAUCCCUAUAGGGGCUCUAUAGGAACCUCAGGGUCCUCUAGGGGCACUUAUGGAUCCCUCUAGGGGCCAUGUGGAUCCCUCUAGGUGUCAAUAUAAAAUCCCUACAGGGGCCAUAUAGAUCCCCAUAGGGACCCCAGGCCCUAUAGGGGCCCUUAUAGAUCCCCAUAGGGGGCCAUAUAGAUCCCUAUAGGGACCCAUACAAAAUCCCUAUAGGGGCCACAUAGGAGCCCAUACAGACCCCUAUAGGGGCCAUACACACCCCAGGGUCUCUAUAGGGGCCCAUAUAGGGGCCAUACAGACCCCAGGGCUCUAUAGGGUCCCAUAUAGACCCCUAUAGGGGCCAUACACACCCCAGGGCCCUAUAGGGGCCCAUGUAGACUCCUUUAAGGCCUAUAUAGAUCCCUAUAGGGGCCAUACAAACCCCAGGACCCUAUAGGAGCCCAUAUAGAUCCCUAUAGGGGUCCAUAGGUUCCUUAUAGACCCCUAUAGGGGCUGUACAGACCCCAGGGCCCUAUCGGGGUCCACGGUCCCCUCUAGGGGUCCUCAGGCUCUAUAGGCAUCCCCAGGCCCUGUAGGGGUCCCCAGGCCCUAUCAGGGUCCCCAGACCCUAUGGAUCCUCAUGACCCUAUAGGGCCCCCAUGCCCCUAGAAGCAUCCCCAGGCCCUAUAAGCAUCCCCAGGCCCUAUAGGAGUCCCCAGGCCCUAUAGGAGUCCCCAGGCCCUAUAGGGCCCCAUGGCUAUAUCAGGAUCCCCAUGGCCCCUAUAGGGAUCCCCAGGGCCUGUCGGGGUCCCCAGGCCCCUGUAUGGAUCCCCAGACCCCCAUAUGUAUCCCUGGCCCCUAUAGGGUCUCCAUGCCCCUAUAGGGACCCCCAUGGCCCCUAUAUGUAUCCCCGGUCCCUAUAGGGCCCCCAUGGCUAUAUUGGGAUUAUCAGACCCCUAUAUGGAUUCCCAGGCCCCAUAUGGAUCCCCAGGCCCUUAAUGGAUCUCCCUGCCCCUAUAGGGCCCCCAUGGCCCUACAGGGACCCCCAUGGCCCCCAUAUGAAUCCCCGGCCCCUAUAGGGNUCCAUCUGUCCAUCUGUGUCUCCCUGUCUGUCCCCCGUCUGUCCCCUGUCCGUCUGUCCUGUCCAUUGUCCAUCUCUGUGUCUCCCUAUCCCCUGUCUGUCCACUGUCCCCCUGUCUAUUCCAGUGUCCAUCUGUCCGUCCCCUGUGUGUCCCUGUGUCCAUCUCUGUGUCCCCAUGUCCAUCUGUCCGUCCCCCCGUGUGUCCCCGUGUCCAUCUCUGUGUCCCCAUGUCCAUCUGUCUGUCCCCCCGUGUGUCCCCGUGUCCACCCGUGUCCAUCUGUCUGUAUGUCCCCCCGUGUGUCCCCUGUCCAUCUAUGUCCCCGUUUGUCCCCCUGUGUGUCCCUAUCCCCAUGUCCAUCUGUCUGUCCCCGUGUCCAUCCGUCUGUCCCCCUGUGUCUGUCCCUGUCCCUGUGUCCAUCCAUGUCCAUCUCUGUGUCCCCGUGUCCAUCUGUCCCUCCCCCGUGUCCCCGUGUCCAUCCGUGUCCAUCCGUGUCCAUCUGUCUGUCCCAUGUCUGUCAGUCCCCUGUGUGUCCCCUGUCCAUUGUCCCCAUGUCCAUCCGUGUCCGUCUGUGUCCAUCUGUCCGUCCGUCCCCCCCGUGUGUCCCUGUCCCCUCCAGGUGCCACCCUCAGGUGCUUUGGCUGCUCCAACCUCCCCCCGCCCGCAGGUAAGAGCUGCCCCUCCCCCACAUGCUGCACCCCGGGGUCCUAUGGGGGCUCUGUGGGGACCCCUGGGACCCUAUAGGGGCCAUAGGGGACCCCACACCACCUAUAGGGGCAAUAGAGAAUCUCUAUAGGGGCCAUAGGGACCCCCGGGAUCCUAUGGGGUCUCUAUAGGGACCCCUGGCACCCUAUAUGGGCCAUAGGGACCCCCAGGAUCCUAUGGGGGCUCUAUAGGGACCCCAGGACCCAUAGGGGACCCCACACCACCUAUAGGGGCCAUAGGGACCCCCAGGAUCCCAUAGGGACCCCUAUGGGGAACAUAUAGAUCCCUAUGAGGGCUCUAUGGGGACCCCUGGCACCCUAUAGGGGCCAUAUAGAUCCCUAUAGGGGUCAAUAUUGAAUCCCUAUAGGGGCCAUAGGGUCCCCUGGGACCUAUGGGGGCUCUAUAGGGACCCCUAUGGGGAACAUAUAGAUCCCUAUGGGGGCUCUAUGGGGAUCCCCAGCACUCUAUAGGGGCCAUAUAGAUCCCUGUAGGGGUCAAUAUUGAAUCCCUAUAGGGGCCAUAGGGUCCCCUGGGACCUAUGGGGGCUCUAUGGGGACCCCUAUGGGGAACAUAUGGAUCCCUAUGGGGGCUCUAUAGGGACCCCUGGCUACCAAAGGGGCCAUAGGGACCCCCAGGAUCCUAUNUGUCCGUGUGUCCCCAUGUCCGUGUGUCCGUGCAUCCCCCGUGGCCGUGCGUGCACGUACGUCCCUGUCAUGUCCCUGUCGUGUGUCCGUGUGUCCUCACAUCUGUGUGUCCCCAUGUCCAUAGGGCCGAUGUCCCCAUGUCCGUCUGUCCCCAUGUCCAUGUGUCCCCAUGUCCGUCUGUCCAUGUGUCUCCAUGGCUGAUGUCCCCAUGUCCAUGUGUCCUAAUGUCCAUGUGUCAGUGUGUCCCUGUGUCUCCAUGUCCAUCUGUCCUCAUGUCUGUGUAUCCCCAUGUCUGUGUGUCCCAAUGUCCAUAUGGCCAAUG